rnacentral:rRNA from 1 species
CUUGGUCAUUUAGAGGAAGUAAAAGUCGUAACAAGGUUUCCGUAGGUGAACCUGCGGAAGGAUCAUUACCUAGAGUUUGUAGACUUCGGUCUGCUACCUCUUACCCAUGUCUUUUGAGUACCUUCGUUUCCUCGGCGGGUCCGCCCGCCGAUUGGACAACAUUCAAACCCUUUGCAGUUGCAAUCAGCGUCUGAAAAAACAUAAUAGUUACAACUUUCAACAACGGAUCUCUUGGUUCUGGCAUCGAUGAAGAACGCAGCGAAAUGCGAUAAGUAGUGUGAAUUGCAGAAUUCAGUGAAUCAUCGAAUCUUUGAACGCACAUUGCGCCCCUUGGUAUUCCAUGGGGCAUGCCUGUUCGAGCGUCAUUUGUACCUUCAAGCUCUGCUUGGUGUUGGGUGUUUUGUCUCGCCUCUGCGUGUAGACUCGCCUUAAAACAAUUGGCAGCCGGCGUAUUGAUUUCGGAGCGCAGUACAUCUCGCGCUUUGCACUCAUAACGGCGACGUCCAAAAGUACAUUUUUACACUCUUGACCUCGGAUCAGGUAGGGAUACCCGCUGAACUUAAGCAUAUCAAUAAGCGGAG